rnacentral:rRNA from 1 species
UACAGAGGUCUCAACCGUUGUUCGGAUUCAUUGGGCGUAAAGGGUGCGUAGGCGGUCGGGUAAGUCGGAUGUGAAAUCUCAGGGCUCAACCCUGAAACUGCAUUCGAUACUGCUUGGCUAGGGUACUGGAGAGGAGACUGGAAUUACGGUGUAGCAGUGAAAUGCGUAGAUAUCGUAAGGAAGACCAGUGGCGAAGGCGAGUCUCUGGACAGUUACCGACGC